rnacentral:tRNA from 1 species
GCCUGAGUGGCUCAGUCGGUUGAGCAUCUGACUUCAGCUCAGGUCAUGAUCUCAUGGGUUGUGAGUUCGAGCCCUGCAUUGGGCU